rnacentral:rRNA from 1 species
GAUGAACGCUGGCGGUAUGCUUAACACAUGCAAGUCGAACGGAAUGCUUAGGCAUUUAGUGGCGGACGGGUGAGUAACGCGUGAGAAUCUGCAUUCAGGUCGGGGACAACCACUGGAAACGGUGGCUAAUACCGGAUGUGCCGAGAGGUGAAAGGCUUGCCGCCUGAGAAAGAGCUCGCGUCUGAUUAGCUAGUAGGGGGUGUAAGAGACCACCUAGGCGACGAUCAGUAGCUGGUCUGAGAGGAUGAUCAGCCACACUGGGACUGAGACACGGCCCAGACUCCUACGGGAGGCAGCAGUGGGGAAUUUUCCGCAAUGGGCGAAAGCCUGACGGAGCAAUACCGCGUGAGGGAGGAAGGCUCUUGGGUUGUAAACCUCUUUUCUCAGGGAAGAAAAAAAUGACGGUACCUGAGGAAUAAGCAUCGGCUAACUCCGUGCCAGCCGCCGCCGUA